AGAGCAUUCAAAGCUGCAGUGCAUUGUCAUAAUUUGUCAUCAUGAAGAUGUUCUUUGUUAUUAGUGUGUUCUGCCUUGUUAUCAUGGCACUGGUGAACGAAGGAAGAAGCACCGAGUGCACGAGGUUUUGGCACAUAUGUGACCUAGGUCACCCCUGUUGUUCAGGAUUCGUCUGUGAGAAACAGCGUCGUUUCCGCACACUUCACUUAUGUGUACCGAUUGAAACAGAUACUGGCUAUUGGAAAUAAUGAUUGCUGCAGUAGGUUGUGCAGAAUUCCAACAGAAAAAAGUCAGUAAUUAAUAACAUGGGAUUACCUCACCAUCAGCUAUUCUGUCAAUCAAAAAUGUUACACUAUAUUCGUAAUUACUUCACUAAAUAAAUUAUACUUUGAAAAUC